CUCAUAUUUUUCAGGGCCGAUGCUGAACUUUGGUGACUUCUCUCGUUAUGGUAAAAGCUUUAACGCGAUUAAAAUGGGG
rnacentral:snoRNA from 2 species